GACGAACGCUGGCGGCGUGCCUAACACAUGCAAGUCGAACGAGGUCCAUCCCGUGGCAACACGGGUGAAGACCUAGUGGCGAACGGGUGAGUAACACGUGAGGAACCUGCCCCGAAGACCGGGAUAACCCUCCGAAAGGAGAGCUAAUACCGGAUGUCCCCACCUGGCCGCAUGACCGGGUGAGGAAAUGGAUUCCGCUUCGGGAGGGCCUCGCGGCCUAUCAGCGAGUUGGUGGGGUAACGGCCCACCAAGGCAUCGACGGGUAGCUGGUCUGCGAGGACGAUCAGCCACACUGGGACUGAGACACGGCCCAGACUCCUACGGGAGGCAGCAGUGGGGAAUCUUGCGCAAUGGGCGAAAGCCUGACGCAGCAACGCCGCGUGGGGGAUGAAGGCUCUCGGGUUGUAAACCCCUUUCAGCAGGGACGAAUCAAGACGGUACCUGCAGAAGAAGCCCCGGCUAACUACGUGCCAGCAGCCGCGGUAAAAC
rnacentral:rRNA from 1 species